UACGUAGGGGGCAAGCGUUGUCCAGAUUUAUUGGGCGUAAAGAGCGUGUAGGCGGCUUUACAGGUCCGUUGUGAAAACUCGAGGCUCAACCUCGAGACGCCGGUGGAAACCGUAAGGCUAGAGUCCGGAAGAGGAGAGUGGAAUUCCUGGUGUAGCGGUGAAAUGCGCAGAUAUCAGGAGGAACACCCGUGGCGAAAGCGGCUCUCUGGGACGGUACUGACGCUGAGACGCGAAAGCGUGGGGAGCAAACAGG
rnacentral:rRNA from 1 species